AGCGAACGCUGGCGGCAGGCCUAACACAUGCAAGUCGAACGAACCUUUCGGGGUUAGUGGCGGACGGGUGAGUAACACGUGGGAACGUGCCUUUAGGUUCGGAAUAACUCAGGGAAAAUUGUGCUAAUACCGAAUGUGCCCUUCGGGGGAAGGAUUUAUCGCCUUUAGAGCGGCCCGCGUCUGAUUAGCUAGUUGGUUGAGGUAAUGGCUCACCAAGGCGACGAUCAGAAGCUGGUCUGAGAGGAUGAUCAGCCACAUUGGGACUGAGACACGGCCCAAACUCCUACGGGAGGCAGCAGUGGGGAAUCUUGCGCAAUGGGCGAAAGCCUAACGCAGCCAUGCCGCGUGAAUGAUGAAGGUCUUAGGAUUGUAAAAUUCUUUCACCGGGGACGAUAAUGACGGUACCCGGAGAAGAAGCCCCGGCUAACUUCGUG
rnacentral:rRNA from 1 species